CAGUCGCCGCGGUAAUACGGAGGGAGCUAGCGUUGUUCGGAAUUACUGGGCGUAAAGCGCGCGUAGGCGGUUACUCAAGUCAGAGGUGAAAGCCCGGGGCUCAACCCCGGAACUGCCUUUGAAACUAGGUGACUAGAAUCUUGGAGAGGUCAGUGGAAUUCCGAGUGUAGAGGUGAAAUUCGUAGAUAUUCGGAGGAACACCAGUGGCGAAGGCGACUGACUGGACAAGUAUUGACGCUGGGGUGCGAAAGCGUGGGGAGCAAACAGGAUUAGAUACCCCAGUAGUCCCUGUCUCUUAUAC
rnacentral:rRNA from 1 species